ACGAACGCUGGCGGCAUGCCUAAUACAUGCAAGUCGAACGAACUAGAGGUUAGAGAUUAGAGGUUAGAAGUUAGACGCAGGAGUUUUCCUCGUUCUAACAUCUGACUUCCAACCUCUAACUUCUAGUUAGUGGCGGACGGGUGAGUAACGCGUGGGCAACCUGCCCCAAAGCUCGGGAUAACACUCCGAAAGGAGUGCUAAUACCGGAUGUAGUUGCGGUGCUGCAUGGCACUGCAAAAAAGGAGCAAUCCACUUUGGGAUGGGCCCGCGUCUGAUUAGCUAGUUGGUGGGGUAAUGGCCUACCAAGGCGACGAUCAGUAGCCG
rnacentral:rRNA from 1 species